CCUACGGGUGGCAGCAGUGGGGAAUAUUGGUCAAUGGCCGGAAGGCUGACCCAGCCAAGUCGCGUGAGGGAAUAAGGCCCUCUGGGUCGUAAACCUCUUUUGUCAGGGCGCAGAGGCUUCCACGUGUGAAAGAGAGAAGAGUACCUGAAGACAAAGCAUCGGCUAACUCCGUGCCAGCAGCCGCGGUAAUACGGAGGAUGCGAGCGUUAUCCGGAUGUAUUGGGUUUAAAGGGUGCGAAGGCGGAGUGUCCAGUCAGCGGGAAAAUUUCGGGGCUCAACACCGUCGUGCCUGUGAAACUGACGCCCUUGAGUGAGUGAGAAGUAAGCGGAAUGCGUGGUGUAGCGGUGAAAUGCAUAGAUAUCACGCAGAACGCCGAUUGCGAAGGCAGCUUACCGGCGCUCAACUGACGCUGAGGCACGAAAGUGUGGGUAUCGAACAGGAUUAGAUACCCUAGUAGUC
rnacentral:rRNA from 1 species